rnacentral:rRNA from 1 species
UGGGGAAUAUUGCACAAUGGGCGCAAGCCUGAUGCAGCAACGCCGCGUGAACGAUGAAGGUCUUCGGAUCGUAAAGUUCUGUUGCAGGGGAAGAUAAUGACGGUACCCUGUGAGGAAGCCCCGGCUAACUACGUGCCAGCAGCCGCGGUAAUACGUAGGGGGCUAGCGUUAUCCGGAUUUACUGGGCGUAAAGGGUGCGUAGGUGGUCUUUCAAGUCGGUGGUUAAAGGCUACGGCUCAACCGUAGUUAGCCUCCGAAACUGGAAGACUUGAGUGCAGGAGAGGAAAGUGGAAUUCCCAGUGUAGCGGUGAAAUGCGUAGAUAUUGGGAGGAACACCAGUAGCGAAGGCGGCUUACGGGAGCGCAACUGACGCUGAAGCUCGAAGGUGCGGGUAUCGAACAGG